rnacentral:rRNA from 1 species
UACGGAGGGAGCUGCGUUGUUCGGAAUUACUGGGCGUAAAGCGCACGUAGGCGGCUACACAAGUCAGAGGUGAAAGCCCCGGGCUCAACCUGGGAAUGCCAUUCGAGACUGCAUAGCUAGGGUGCGGAAGAGGGAAGCGGAAUUUCCGGUGUAGCGGUGAAAUGCGUAGAUAUCGGAAGGAACACCAGUGGCGAAAGCGGCUUCCUGGUCCAGCACCGACGUCAGGCACGAAAGCGUGGGGAGCAAACAGG